UUUCACAUACUCCCUCCUAACCUCUUUUCUCUCUCGGCCUCUCACCCCAUCUCACCCUAAUCCACCAAUUCUUGUACAAUUAAACAUGCAACCAUGAAAACAUGAUUCUUGAGUAAUUCUAGUAAUAUUGUUCAUUAAAUUGAUGUUCUUCCUCUCUUUUGGUUAAAUUCCUUCUCUCUUCAUGCAAUUGGGAUUUUUACUUCUCAAAGCUUAAGUGAUGUAUGCAUGUGUGAUUUUGGAGCCGCUUGUGUGAUGAAUUGAUGAUUAGAAGUCAUAAGUUGAAUGUUGGAACAAGUAGAGGCAUGGGUGUUUUAUUUGCAGCAACAAAUUUGGAAACAAGAUGAAGUUGAGCAUGAGUUGUAAUUGGGGUUUUGUUGAGUAUUAAAGGUUGAGCUAUUAGAUGAAUAUUGGUGCUAAAGAGCAGGGCUUUGGCAAGGGAGCAGAAGCUAGAGUUGUUGUUUUGGCUUGGAAUAAAGCUUUUCCAUAGAAUUCAGAAGUUCUAAAAUUCUGGACUGUCACAACUCGCCGGGCGAGCUAGAACUCGAUUAUGAACAUGAUUAUGUAGGUGUCGUGUCUCUUGCUAUCCACGCCAAGGGGAUACAUAAGGUUCACAUCAGGGGAACGAGACACGCUCCACAAGGUAGGCCCGCACGACACUGAGAGGAGUCUGAUGUACCUUAGCUAGGAAUUCAUCGGUCAAGUAUGGGAUUAUACUCGGGGUUACUCCACCCGAUACACUCCGUAAAAUCAAUUCAGAUAAUUGUAUGUUACACGCUAACUUUCUAACAUAAUGAAAGACUAUGGAUAUGAUAUGAUAUGUUUAUGUUAGACUAUGAAGUAUGUAUAAGUUUAUGUACCAAGGCAGGAUUAUGAAGAUACACUGUUGACGAUCUUAGUACCUCCCCGAUCGUCCGGUUCAGGGUCAUGUCAUGAAUAUUUUAUGAUUAGACCUUGAUGCGUUUAUCGUAUCUUGAUAUAGCGGUCUUAGCUUCCCUUGACCGCCAUGACAUGUAGAGUAUAUGGAAAGACUUGUAGCCUAUGAGACGUAGAACCUUAUGACGGUCCUAGUAUGCACGACCGUCUGGAUACGCAUGUUCCACACAAGUAUAAUCAACCGAAUAGUUGUAUUGUAGACACGUGGUAACCCUAGGUUUUCCCCCGUGGUUACCAACGGCCUAAGAUUAGGUAGAACUCACUGAGACAUUAUGUCUCAUCCCAAUCCUCUUUUGUUUCAGAUUAGCAGGUUGGUUUAGCAGCAUGUGGACGGAUGGAUAAUCAACAAGGCUCGUUCGUACUGGUUGCAUGAUUCUCUCAAGGAUUCAAGUGUGUGUGACUAUGUAUUGGAUGAGUAGUAUAGUAUUAUUCAUUGUACGAACGCUUAUUGUUGUAUAUAGUUAUUCAUUUGAAGA